AACGAACGCUGGCGGCGUGGAUAAGACAUGCAAGUCGAACGCUCAUUUUUCCGGAGCAAUCCGGGGAGGUGGGAGUGGCGCAAGGGUGCGUAACACGUGGGUAAUUUGCCAUGAAGUUGGGGAUAAUCCCGCGAAAGCGGGACUAAUACCGGAUGUGGUUGAAGGGUGGCAUCAUUUUUCAACUAAAGUUGGGGACCGCAAGGCCUGACGCUUCAUGAUAAGCCCGCGGCCUAUCAGCAGUUGGUGGAGGUAACGGCUCACCAAGGCUAAGACGGGUAGCUGGUCUGAGAGGACGACCAGCCACACUGGAACUGAGACACGGUCCAGACACCUACGGGGUGGCAGCAGUCGAGAAUUUUUCUCAAUGGGCGAAAGCCUGAAGGAGCGACGCCGCGUGGGGGAUGAAGGGUUUCGAUCCGUAAACCCCUGUCAUUUGUGAACAAU
rnacentral:rRNA from 1 species